GUACUAUAUAAACAUUUUAUUUUUGCUCAGACUGAACGAUUAUAAGUUUGUCGUGGGCGAAGAGAGGGAUUUAGAUCCCGGAGAAGAACCUGGACUCUGGCUGUUCAACCUGACAGUGGAUCCGAACGAAAUCAUAAACAUGGUCGAGGUGCAGCCUGCCUUGGCCAUGGCCAUGGAGAUGCUCAUGCUGGAGGAGCUUCCCAACGUGGUUCCCCGAGACGAGCCAGACAACGACCCGGCGGGCGACCCCUCCAACUGGGGCGGCGUCUGGAGUCCAGGCUGGUGCGACGUCCCCUGAAGGAGGCGGGGCGUGGCAGCUGUAUGGGCGUAGGAGGAAGGCGAACACAGCCUAUACUUACUAUUGGUGAACUAAGAAUUUGGAUUUUGAUGGAGUGUUCGCAGACGAAAUUUAAAUAAAUAGUUGAUAUCCUGA